UGAAAGAUCGCUUCCCGUACGAUCACCAAAGUUAAGCAACGUCAAGCCUGGUCAGUACCUAGGUGGCUGACCGCUUGGGAAUACUAAGUUCUGUA